UGUUCUGUGGCAUAGUUGGUUAAAGCGCCAGACUAGCGAUACUGAGUGGUGGGUUCGAAUCCCUCCUAAACAA
rnacentral:tRNA from 1 species